rnacentral:lncRNA from 1 species
CCGCACCGGAGGGUUUUCCAACCACCAAACGAGGUAAAUUUUUUCUCCUUGGCUUGUUUUUCGAUGUUGAAUCCGCCCAUGGCCAAAUCGGAGCCAAACUACCGGCCAAUCAGCUGGAAAAUACCGCCGAAGUCCAGCGGCGCUGCCGCAGCUUCUCUCAGUUUUUGCCUCCGAUGAGGCUCUUUCCGGUUUCCGAUCGAUGCAAUUUUUACACUACUGUGAUCACUGUCCUUUUCUCUACAGGUUGAUCGGAGUAAAACAUCAAACCGCGACUCGCGCCAGAGAAGCCGCCGCACCCGAGAGCACCGCCGCCGGUAAGUCUCGAUUUUUUGUGAU